rnacentral:rRNA from 1 species
UAGCGAAGGGGGCUAGCGUUGCUCGGAAUCACUGGGCGUAAAGGGUGCGUAGGCGGGUCUUUAAGUCAGGGGUGAAAUCCUGGAGCUCAACUCCAGAACUGCCUUUGAUACUGAGGAUCUUGAGUUCGGGAGAGGUGAGUGGAACUGCGAGUGUAGAGGUGAAAUUCGUAGAUAUUCGCAAGAACACCAGUGGCGAAGGCGGCUCACUGGCCCGAUACUGACGCUGAGGCACGAAAGCGUGGGGAGCAAACAGGG